CAUAGGUUUGGUCCUGGCCUUUUCAUUAGCUUAUAGCUAACUUAUACAUGCAAGCAUCCCCGUCCCAGUGAGAAUGCCCUCUAUAUCUAUUAACUGAUCAAAAGGUGCAGGCAUCAAGUUCACCGAUCCUGGUAGCUCACAACGCCUUGCUCCACCACGCCCCCACGGGAGACAGCAGUAAUUAAAAUUAAGCCCAUAAACGAAAGUUUGACUAAGUUAAGCUAAAUUAAGAGUUGGUAAAUUUCGUGCCAGCCACCGCGGUCAUACGAUUAACUCCAGUUAAUGAAACACGGCGUAAAGCGUGAUUAAGAGACUAACUAGAUAAGAUUAAAAUAAUAUUAAACUGUAAAAAGUCUUGAUAAUAAUGAAAAUCAAAUACGAAAGUAAUCUUAAACCUUCUGAAUUCACGAUAGCUAAGACCCAAACUGGGAUUAGAUACCCCACUAUGCUUAGCCCUAAACAUAAACAUUUAACAAACAAAAAUGUUCGCCAGAGUACUACUAGCAACAGCCUGAAACUCAAAGGACUUGGCGGUGCUUUACACCCCUCUAGAGGAGCCUGUUCUAUAAUCGAUAUACCCCGAUUCACCUCACCACCUUUAGCAAAUAUCAGCCUAUAUACCGCCAUCUGCAGCAAACCCUAAAAAGGCCCUACAGUAAGCAAGAAAAUUUUACAUUAGUACGUUAGGUCAAGGUGUAGCCCAUAAGGUGGGAAGAAAUGGGCUACAUUUUCUACCUUCCUAGAAUAAACCCCACGAUAGCUUUUAUGAAACUCAGAGCAUAAGGCGGAUUUAGUAGUAAGUUAAGAAUAGAGAGCUUAACUGAAUAGGGCAAUAAAGCACGCACACACCGCCCGUCACCCUCUUCAAAUGUACUUCUAAUAUAAUUCUAUCAAUAAUUUAUUUUAUUAAAUAUGUAAGAAGAGACAAGUCGUAACAAGGUAAACAUACUGGAAAGUGUGUUUGGAAUAAC
rnacentral:ncRNA from 1 species